UACAUGGGGUGCAAACGUUGCUCGGAAUUAUUGGGCGUAAAGCGCGCGUAGGCGGUUACUCAAGUCGGAUGUGAAAGCCCUCGGCUUAACUGAGGAAGUGCACCCGAAACUGAGUAGCUAGAGUACUAAAGAGGGUCGCGGAAUUCCCGGUGUAGAGGUGAAAUGCGUAGAUAUCAGGAGGAACACCUGCGGUGUAGACGGCUUACUGGACGGUAACUGACGCUGAGGCACGAAAGCGUGGGUAGCAAACAGG
rnacentral:rRNA from 1 species